CUUAUGGAAAAUGUCACACGUGUUAUUACCUGUUUCAGGUUUUCUAGACAAACUUCUUCCUGGAAGGGUGAAGGCUGCUACCCAAUAGUAUAGCCUCCAGCCCCAAGUGACUGACUACGGAGCACUUGAAUGGGGGCUGGUUUGAAUUCAGAUGUGCUGUGAGUGUAAAAUACACAUGAUAUUCUGAAGAUGUAGUAUAAAAAAAGGAUGCUCUGAGUAUUGAUUACUUGUUGAAUGAUAUUAUUUUGGAUUUGUUGAGUUAUAUAAGAUAUGCUAUUUUAUUUUUUUUUGUAUUGAAGAACAGUUGAUUUACAAUGUGUUAGUUUCUGUUAUAUAGCUCAGUGAUUAAGUUAUACGUGUAUAUAUAACUGAAGUAUAUAUUUAUGUAUAUACUUUAAAAAAUAUAUAUGUAACUGGAGUAUAUAUGCAUAUAUAUACUUUAAAAAAGAAUGUGGAAAAAUAUACAUAUAUACUCUUUCAAUAUGUAUAUAUUUUUCCAAUAUAUAUAUUCUUUUCCAUUAUAAUUUAUUAUAGGAUAUUCAAUAUAGUUCCUGUGCUAUACAGUAGGACCUUCUUUUAUCUAUUUUAUAUAUAGUAAUUGGAAUAUACUCUUGUUUAAUCGCACCUGUUGCUUUUUACUUUUUUGAGAAAGGCUGCUAGAAAAUUUAGAAUGACAUUGGGUGCUCAUAGGCUAUUGACAGGGGCAGCACUGUUCUGGAGGUUGGGUUACUGUGCUGCCUUCCCAAGGAAGCCCUGGAAAUACUUUACUUGUGCUCUCUGCCAUCCCCAGGGCUGCCGGCUGGCACGGAGCUCUUGGUGGCAGGAGGCAUGGGUGCCGGAACGUGUUAUUAUGGCACAUGUUUGUGAUUGCCAGAUUGUUCAACUCGAUUUCUCAAUAAAAGGCUCAAAGGGAGAUGUCUGAGCAGCACAAAUGGAAAUUCAAGGGUCCUUUCUUCUCUAACUGCCCCUUGGCCAACAGAGGUUCAAAUGCAGCAUGAAAUAUGUUAGCACCAGAACAAGGAGUGCUGGAAACUUCAAAUGAAGGUACUGAAAGCCCUUCAAAACCAACACGUGCGCCUUAAUUUGCGAAUUAAAGUGCUGAUAAAACAAUCUUCUGAAAAAGGUCAAUCCAUUUACAGUAGAUUCUGUAAACUUCAGUCUCACAUUCUUACACCAUCUCUCUGAACCACAUCCUUUGAGGGUAAUAAAGAGGAUCUGUAAUAAAGACACAAUUAUGUAACAGUUUGAAGGUGGCUAGGGAAGGAUGCUUUUUUGGCACUUAAAAAAAAAAUCAGAAAUAGGAAGGCAUUGUGAAUAUCUUCCUCUUCCUCUUUUUCUUUUUAGCGAUUUUUGGGGGUGGGUCGGGUUGGGGAGCAGAGAUGCGCAUUUUGGUCGCAUUCAGACGAAAAUGCAGCAUUUUAUUUCCCUGUUAGCAAUAGAGCAAGGACAAACCUUUUAAUGAAAAUUGCCUGAGGGAGUUAAGAGACUGAAACCACCUUUCUGAGGGCAGAGGGAGAAAAAAAUCACGUCUCUUCCUAGCCUGUUUGCCCACCUCCGCUGCAAUUGCAUUUCUAAAAUUGCAUCUGUUACAAGGUAAGGGUCUCUGGAAUCCUCCAGUUCAGAACAGAAAUAUGUCGGUGCGUAAUUUUGGAAGUGAGCCUGAGGUACCCAGAGCAGAUGACACACGGGGCUUAGGUCCUGAUUCAGCUACAAGUCAGCGGGGCACCCCAGGACCAUCUGCGUUCUAUAAAUUACAGUAACGCCAGCACAUGCCGCUUGUAAAUCACCAGCGAACAGGCUUCACCUUGUGACACACGACAUGAACCCUGUUGUAUAUUCCAAUAAACUCCCAUAAACCAUCUGAUAUAAACUCUGGAUUAUGUUUCUUUAGGGGUUGCAAUACUUAGAUUUUCUUUGCCGGCCUGAUUCGCUUUCAACUUGUGAAUUGAAUACACACAGCGUCGUUCCCUUUUCUUUCCCACAUAUAUAGGCAUUUUGCUGUUUUUCCAAGUCCAGAAUUUUACUUAGUGGCUGACAUAGGCAAUUUGGUGAACUUUAAAGGACCGAUCUUUUUUUCUUCCGCCCUCUUUAAUAAACUUGUUUCUUUCAACACGACUGUGAAUGUCAAAGUCUUGUGGUUACUCCACAAGGAAAAUACGAUUUAUAAACAGCACAUUAAUGGCCAAAUUGUCAGUAACCUACUUCGCUGAAUAUAAAUAAACUUAUGUUAUAAAGAGUCUUAUCAUUCAUAUGGCUUUGCUGGGCUUCUGGCUACCUACACUGCUGCCUUCUACAACAGGUUUUUUUUAUUCAGGAGCAUAAGGAGGAAGAACAAAUUGGGGUGGAGAUAGCAUUCAGUUUCAUUUAUGGCUCAUCCACAUAUGGUUCCAGGCAACGUUUGUUUGAAACACACUGUUAUCUUAUUCAUAGAGCUCAUCUUCCAUCUCUGGGGAAACCCUUUCUGAGAACUCACUUCUUAAGGCUUGUGAUAGCUGACUUACUGGCUCCCAGGUCAACGAUAUUAUAUAAAAAAUAAAAAUAAAUGGAAGAUCUUCCGUGUUUGUGAAUUAGAAGCAUUAAUGUUGUGUAAAUGUCCAUAAUACCUAAAGCAAAUUCUAGAUUCAAAGCAAUGCCUAGCAAAACUCCAAUGGCAUUUUUCAAAGAAUGAGAACAAACAGUUCUACAAUUUAUAUGGAAACAACAACAACAAAAGAAGCCAAAUAUCCAAAGCAAUCUUUAGAAAGAAGAAAGUUGGAGUCAUUAUACUCCUAAUUUCAAACUAUGUUACAAAAGCUAUAGUAAUUAAAAAUGUGAUAUUGACAUAAAAACAGACACAUAGACCAAUGGAACAGAAUAGAGAGUCUGGAAAUGAACCCACACAUAUAUGGUCAAUUAAUUCAUGAAAAAGAAGGUGCAGUGGGGAAAAGACAGUGUCUUUAAUAAAUGAUGUUGGGAAGAGUGGAGAGUGACGCUCAAAAGUAUGAAAGUGACCAUGAUUUAUACCACAAAGAAAAAUAACUCAAAAUGGAUUAAAAAAUUGGAUGUAGGACCUGAAACCAUAAAACUCCUGGAAGAAAACUUGGGCAGAAAUCUCCUUUAUAAAGGUCUUAGAGAUGGUUUUUUUUGCAUCUGAUGCCAAAAGAAAAAGCAAUGAUAGCAAAAAUAAACAAGUAGGACUACAUCAUACUGAAAAACUUCUGCACAAAAAAGGAAACCAUUAACAAAAUGAAAGGCAAGCUACUGAAUGGGAGAAAAUAUUUACAAAUUACAUAUCGGAUAUGGGGCUCAUAUCCAAAAACAUAUAGAGAAUUCAUACAACUCAAUAGCAGAAAAACCGGACAAUCCAAUAAAAAAUGGGCGGAAGACCUGAAUAGUUUUCCAAAGAAGACAUAUAGAUAGCCAAACAAGCACGUGAAAAGAAUCCUACAUUCCUCAUCAUCAAAUCAAAACCACAAUGAGGUAUCACCUCACACCUGUUAGAAAGUCUAUUAUCUAAAAGACUAGAAAUAACAAGUGUUGGCAACAAUGUGGGGAAAAGGGAACACUUGUGUACUAUUGGUGGGAAGGUAAGUUAGUGCAGACACAAUGGAAAACAGGAUGGAGGUUGCUAAAAUAUUUAAAGUAGAACUAACAUAUUAUCCAGCACUUUUGGGUGUUUAUCCAAAGAAAAAGGAAACACUGAUUUGAAAAGAUAUAUGCACCCCUGCCCUGUGUUGACUGCAGCAUUAAUUACAAGAGCCAAGACAUGAAAACCACCUAAGUGUAUAUCAAUGGAUGAAUGAAUAAAUUGUGGCAUAUACAUAUAUGUAUUAUUCAGCCAUAAAUGUGAAUGAAAUCUUGCCAUUUUGCAACAACGUGAAUGGACCUCAAAAGUGUUAUGCUAGCUAAGUGAAAUAAAUCGACAAUGAAAGAAAAAUACCAUAUGCUCUCUCUUAUAUGUGAAAUCUAAAAAUAUAUAUAUGCUAAAAACCGCAAGCUUGUAGAUACAAAGAACAAAUUGGUUGUUGCAGGGGUGCAGUGAGAGACUGAGAGAAAUGGGUGAGUUACUUAUGUUGUUUUAUAAUUUAAAUAAAUUGAAUAAUAAUUAAAAUGUCAUUUUUUAAAUUUGUGAUUGAUUCAAGAUUUGUAGAGGGUUCAUGUGCUCAAUAAAAAUUAAAGUUCUUCAAAGUUACAGGAGUUCCUUGAGAUAUAAAUGUACUAACAUGUACCUAAAGUUUAAAUGUUUAGAUUCUGCUGAGAAAAUGUCCCUAUUGCUGAAUGUAAUUACCUUAGUGGAAAAGAGGUAAAAUUAAAUUUUGCUAAUUUAUACAGCAGCACUACUGUGAAUUCAAAACACAACUUCCAGGAACUUCUAAAUACAUAGUGUCAUUCUUUAAUUAAUGCAGUUUAUCCUGUAAUUUUAGGGAUUUAUUGAUACUGGCAGAAACAUUUGCAAAUAACUUAAAAAUUUCAUGACAUAUUAUGUACCUCAAAGGAUUUCAUUCAGGUUUUUUUUUUUCUUUUCAACUGCAAUCAAUAAUUUCUUUCAAAACUCUUAAUAUGCUCAGAUAUAGUUAAAAGAUUCUUGGAUAGUCUCAAAAGAAGGAUUUAAGAAAACAAAUAUGAACAAAGAUGAACUUUGUAGCAUUAAUGUUAUUUUCUUUCAUUCACAUCAUUUUUGAACAAGUUCUGCCUCUGUUUUCUAUUACACCUAAAUAGUUCUCGUUUUUAUUCAACAUCAAGAGAUAUUAAUGUGGGUGCAUCAAAUCAGAGUUUGGGUUCUUUGAACCUAUCAAACUAUUUUUUCCAGAAUAUUUGGGGUUUGAUAAAACCCCAAAUGCAUGCUAGAAGCACUUUUUCCAUUAAUUAUUAAACCCAUGUGCAUUUUGAAGAAAAUUUGAUCCAUAUGGGUUCUGGUUCAUUUAUGCUUUACUCAUCAAAAUACUUUUUCUUCAAGUCCAUGUCCAAGAAAUCUUUUGAGCCCCGUUAAGUUUUUCGAGCUUUGCCAAGAACAAACAAAGUUGAACACCAAAAGAUUCAAGUUGGUUUGUAACCCUAUACCUACAGAGCAUUAGUGGGCUCUAAACUUGGAUUAAACACAUGCUCUCAUCUCUAAUAGGUAGUUGGAUGUACCUCUAGAGGGAAGCUUGAGGCCUGGUACAGACAGUAAAAUUCACAUAUAUGUCAACAGGGGCAACAGAUAAUCCCAGAAUGCAUCACAGUUCAUUAAAUGAUUACUUUUAUUAUACUUUUGGAGUACAUAUAUCUGAGAUGUUCCAUAGAUUUUGAGCUGGAAGGUCAAGAGGCACUCCAAGUAGCUAAC
rnacentral:lncRNA from 1 species